UUCUUGAUGAUACACCAUCCAGUUAAGAACCAGUGGCUUUAUAGGAGAUUUAAGUAUGGCAACUCAUGUGCAUAGUCCUAGGCAUGGGAACCUGAAGAGACAGUUAGAUGGCCACGCCUUGGAAGCCAGUCUGUGUUAUAUAGCUGUUGUUGCACUGAGGACUGAUUCCAGGGCCUCAGAUACACUAGGGAAGUACUCUACCUAUGAAGAUGCCACAGCUGCCAAGGAGGCCACAGAAGGAAGCAAAACUGACGGAAACAAAACUAUCUCGGACUAGACCAUGCCUAAUGGUGAAGAUAGCAUUGCAGGUCACAGGGGAGGCCACAGGGUUUCCUAGAAGGCAGGGGUGACAGGCUACAAAGAAAGAAGUCUGACUCUCGCCCCUCACCCAUUCUGUCCUUGUCUACCCUCUUCCAUUUGAAACAAAUGUUUUCACUGUCACCCAUUAGAUGGCAGAGCCAUUUCAAGACA